rnacentral:rRNA from 1 species
UGGGGAAUCUUGCACAAUGGGCGAAAGCCUGAUGCAGCGACGCCGCGUGCGGGAUGACGGCCUUCGGGUUGUAAACCGCUUUCAGCAGGGACGAAGCGGAAGUGACGGUACCUGCAGAAGAAGCCCCGGCCAACUACGUGCCAGCAGCCGCGGUAAUACGUAGGGGGCGAGCGUUGUCCGGAUUUAUUGGGCGUAAAGCGCGCGUAGGCGGCUGUUCAAGUCGGUAGUGAAAACUCAACGCUCAACGUUGGGCUUGCUGUCGAGACUGGGCGGCUGGAGUCUGGUAGGGGGGUCUGGAAUUCCUGGUGUAGCGGUGGAAUGCGCAGAUAUCAGGAGGAACACCGGUGGCGAAGGCGGGACCCUGGGCCAGUACUGACGCUGAUGCGCGAAAGCGUGGGGAGCAAACAG